AGAGGUACGUGAGCUGGGUUCAAACCGUCGUGAGACAGGUUGGUCCCUAUCUACCGCAGGCGUUGAGUCUUGAGGGGGGUUGCUCGUAGUAAGAAAUUGCUACUUUAUGGAGCAAUCCAUAAUGACAACCCAACUAAUAACGGUGAAACCUUCAUUGACCGAGCCUUCAAUUCGUGGAGGUGAGGUUGGAGAAGAGGAUAAAAUUCUCUUCGACAUUUAUUCGGUUGCAGUGGUCAUAAAAUUUGUUAGUCCUCAAAUUUUAUGAUACAAUCUUUGUUGUGACUCGGAUACUUGAGGACCGUAUAAAUAAUAAGGCAAUACCGUGGGAAGACAAAUAAAGCUAAAACAAAUUGACUUUGCCUAUAUAGCUGGAUUUUUAGAUGGAGACGGAAGUAUUAUGUUUCAGAUUAAGAAAAGAAAAGAUACUUUACGAGGAAAGCGUUUAAUGUUUACUAUCUGCUUUUAUCAAGACACAAGACACGAAAAACCACUCUUUUGGAUAAAAAAUCGGUUAGGCAUUGGAUAUAUUUCAAGGCGUAACGAUGGAAUCACAGAGUUGAGAGUUAAUGGACAUAAACAGGUGCAAAAAAUUUUGCAAAGUUUAUAUCCCUAUCUCCGAUUUAAAAAAGAGCAAGUUAGAUAUCUCUUUCGUGCCAUUAAUAUCUUGAACAAAAGAAAAAUUGAUAAAUUAACCAAAAAAGAAAAAAAAGAGAUAGUAAACGCUCUUAUUGCUGCAAGAAAACAAACAUAUCAGUCAGGGAAGAAAAACCCUAAAAAAUUAAAAGCUGAUUUGAAAGUAAUUAUGGCGCUUUAAUUUGUCCCCGUAACGACUUUAUCCCGCUUUCUGAAAGAACGGGAUAGGAUGGUAGGAAUUAAACAAGCUACCAUAACAUGUUGGCCCGAGCACAUAAAGUGUUGUGUGCUCGGUGAAGAUAUAGUCUAAGCUUAUAGAAAUAUAAGAUAAACUUGACGAGAGGACCCGAGUGAACUGACCUCUGGUGUACCAGCUGUUCCGCCCGGAGCAUUGCUGGGUAGCUAAGUCGGGAACUGAUAAGUGCUGAAAGCAUAUAAGCGCGAAGCAGGCCCCAAGAUUAGGACUCUUUAAGAUUUCCCGCAGACUACGGGAUUGAUAGGCUGUAGGUGGAAGCCCAGUAAUGGGUUAAGCCGAGCAGUACUAAUAAAUCGA
rnacentral:rRNA from 1 species